GCUGUUUGGGUUCGCGGCCGGCGCGGGGCGGGGCGGCGGCCGGAGGGGAAGAGGCGGAGCCGGCAGAGGGCGCGACCGCGGCGGGGCGGUGCUUCCCGGAGGCGGGGGGCCGGGGCCUGUCCCCGAGGGUCGGACGCGGCCCGCGACCUCCCGGGGGAGGAGCUGGCCCCGAGCGCGCGGCUGAGGGCCCUGGCGGCGCCACCUGCUAGCGCCUCCCGAAGGGCCGGGUGACGCUCCGCGGCGGGACGAUCUCCUGUUGGAAGGAACGCGCGCGAAGUUCAGCCUAGGGAUACGCUGUUUCAGAUUGCCUGCACUGACACUACUUGAGGAAAUGCACCCCCCUCAGUCCAUUCCCAUUCAUACAAGACCCCCCAGAAAAGCAGAGAAAUCUACCGAGUAAGCAACACCCUCAUGAAGAUACAUGUCAAAUAAACUCACGCUGGACAACUGAAUGAUGAGAGAUCACAUAGCGGAGAGAGGCCCAGCCAGCCCACCCGGAGGCACUAGAAAUAGGAGUGAAGCCAUCUUCAAUUCCUCAGCCCUGGUCAAACCACCCCAGCCAACACUACGUGGAACAGAGGCUCCACAGAGUUCUGCCGAAUUUGCAGUCGUGAGAAAAAAUAAAUGGUACUUUGAG